rnacentral:rRNA from 1 species
AGUUGGAGGAUCGAAGGCGAUCAGAUACCGCCCUAGUUGCGACUUUAAACGAUGCCAACUAGCGAUUCGGCGAUGUCUUUCUAAUGACUCGCUGAGCAGCUCCCGGGAAACCAACGUCUUUCGGUUCCGGGGGAAGUAUGGUUGCAAAGCUGAAACUUAAAGGAAUUGACGGAAGGGCACCACCAGGAGUGGAGCAUGCGGCUUAAUUUGACUCAACACGGGAAAGCUCACCCGUCCCGAACACUGUCAGGAUUGACAGAUUGAGAGCUCUUUCUUGAUUCAGUGGGUAGUGGUGCAUGGCCGUUCUUAGUUGGUGGAGCGAUUUGUCUGGCCAAUCCCGAUAACGAACGAGACUCUGGCCUACUAAAUAGUGACGGCUCAAUUUGCUUUGCCGAGCACUUCUUAGACGGACAAGCGGCGGUACAAAGCCGCACGAGAAAGAGCAAUAACAGGUCUGUGCUGCCCUUAGAUGGACGGGGCUGCACGCGUGCUACACUGAUGGCACCAACGUGCGUUCAAGCCUGGCUUGAAGAGGUCAGGUAAUCGAAUGAAAUGUCCGUCGUGACUGGGACAGGGAAUUGCAAUUAUUUCCCUCGAACGAGGAAUUCCCAGUAAGCGCGAGUCAUCAGCUUGCGUUGAC